AGAAAACCCAAACAGAGAAGAGCGAAGAAGAUUCAGAGCAGAAUUAGGGUUUACGAUUGAUUACCCAAACAACAACAACGACAUGUAUAAUCAUCUUCUUCCCCAUCAUCGCUCCCCCGGCCUCACUCUGGAUUCCUACUUGGUUUGGUUUCUAAAUUUGCAGCAGUGGCUUUGAUCUAUCGGUGCUUUUUGGAAGCGUGGCUUUGGACUCUGAAAUCUCAACUUCUUUUAGGAUUGAUUGAUUGCGGAGGAUAACUGUAGUAUUGAUCGAUGGGUGAUUGAGGAGGAGGGUACUAAGAUCUCUCCCUGAUGGUUUGAUUGAGGAGGAGGGUACUAAGAUCUUCUUGGGUCUUCUUUUGGAAUUACUUCUGAACAGCAAGCUUUGUCAAAGGAUGGAUCACAACUAGGCAGAAUAUGAAGAUCAUAUGCGGGGAUAGCUGGUGAUGUGUGAUUUGCUGAGGCAGUGGUGCGUCUUCUUCCUUGUCCACUUCAAUUUCUCCCCUUCCAUAUAAGUUGUGAUGCAUUCUUACACAACGAUGGUCCAAUCCUAUUCUGGACAUUGGAUUGGGGUUUGUUUCAGGAGUCUAGAUAUUGGAUCGACUCAGAACAAACACGGUCGCCAGCGUGCGUGUUAUUACAUCAAACUGAUCGAUUACAAAAUAAAAAGGUUUGUUUAUGUGGCUGUGUGUUCCAAACCAGGACAAUGACUCAUGUUUUUCAAGGACGUACGAAAGCAUCAAGGUUUAGCACUGAGAGGGAGGGGACUUAUCUUGAUGUGAUCGAUGUCUUGCAAUCUCUAAAGAGGUGUCUCUGAAGAUCUAGCCGGUGUCUCUUAGUUUAGCACUUUGAUCCCAAUUGAUCUUUUUUAAUCCUCGUCUUCUUAGCUUCUAUCAUGUUGUUAGUCGAAGCUUUUAAAAUGCCAAUGACAAGAGACUGCAUCUGCCCCCAGGCUUCCUGUUAAUUCCAAUUCUGACAUGAGUAGUGAUCCUGGUGUUGUGACUUGUAAGGAACUACUUACUUCUUUUGGUAGAGAGAAGAAGCUCAAUCGUCAGGCC